rnacentral:rRNA from 1 species
CCUACGGUAGGCAGCAGUGGGGAAUAUUGGGCAAUGGGCGCAAGCCUGACCCAGCAACGCCUCGUGAAGGAAGAAGGCUUUCGGGUUGUAAACUUCUUUUAAGAGGGAAGAGCAGAAGACGGUACCUCUUCAAUAAGCCACUGCUAAAUACGUGCGAGCAGCCGCGUGAAUACGUAGGUGGCAAGCGUUGGCCGGAUUUACUGGGUGUAAAGGGAGGGCAGCCGGGAAGUCAAGUCAGAGGUGAAAUCCCGCGGCUCAACCGCGGAACUGCAUUUGAAACUGUAUUUAUUGAGUACAGGAGAGGUCAUCGGAAUUCCUUGUGUAGCGGUGAAAUGCGUAGAUAUAAGGAAGAACACCAGUGGCGAAGGCGGAUGACUGGACGGCAACUGACGGUGAGGCGCGAAAGCGUGGGGAGCAAACAGGAUUAGAUACCCUAGUAGUA